rnacentral:tRNA from 1 species
CGGGGUGUAGCGCAGCCUGGUAGCGUACAUGCAUGGGGUGCAUGUGGUCGGAGGUUCAAAUCCUCUCACCCCGACCA